AAAGACCAACUUUUUGGAUAAGCUGUACGAUGUAACUUAUGCCCGGACUUCUUCUCUCUCAUGUUAACAAGUUGUGGUCACGUUUUGCUAAGAGUGAUAUCUAGUUCUGUCUGAUGAUUUUUAUUUUUUACUAAUGAUGUGUUUCUCUGAAGAAAGAUUUGUAGUUUUUGCUGAUGACUUCGGGUGUAUAUUGCAGCUAGAAGAUGCUGCGACACUCCCAUAAAGUAUCUAUGUUCUGGAAGCGGGCUCCUGUUGUCUUUCGCAUACAUGGCAGCAUAAUACCUUUCUCCUUAUGAUACUCUCUUGUUGAAUGUCCUUGUUAAGGAAUCAAAUUGAUUCUCUGCUACAACAAUUAGAACAUCAUUGUGUUGUUUUUUU
rnacentral:lncRNA from 1 species